UGCCCUUCACAGGUAUCUCCUGGUUUAAUAUGAUGCCCUGGGGAUGCUGUGAAUGGUUAUU
rnacentral:pre_miRNA from 1 species